CCCUAGCCCCGAUUGCAGUGGAAAUCCUUUUUUGCGUUGACUAAAGGUUCUAUUUAGAAAGAAAUCGUCGGGCAAAAAGAUUGCAACGGAAAGCGGGAAACAGC
rnacentral:sRNA from 1 species